GAUUUUGCACCUGAGUCUGACAUCGUAGAAGGACCAUUCUUGUAUCAGAUUGGAUUUUGCACCUGAGUCUGACAUCGUAGAAGGACCAUUCUUGUAUCAGAUUGGAUUUUGCACCUGAGUCUGACAUCGUAGAAGGACCAUUCUUGUAUCAGAUUGUAAGUAAUUAAUUUCUUUAUCAUUUUCCUAAAUAACUUUUGUGAUUAUCUCACAAAUUGACCCCCAAAAUUGCAUUUUUAUGUUCGAAGGACUAAUUUUUGAUGGUUUUAGGGAUUUUGCACCUGAGUCUGACAUCGUAGAAGGACCAUUCUUGCAUC